ACCCAUGUAGCUCAAUUGGAACAAGAGCCACUCCGUUCUAAGGAGAGGGUUGCAGGUUCGACUCCUGCCAUGGGUACCA
rnacentral:tRNA from 1 species